GCUUAUUCGUACAGUACAUGCAAUACAUUACACGUAAUGUCUUUUAUUCCUGUACAAAAGAAGUUUACAACCCGUAGGGCAGUCUUCCUUCACGCGAUUUGGCUGGUUCAGACUCUCGUCCAUUGACCAAUAUUCCUCACUGCUGCCUCCCGUAGGAGUCUGGUCCGUGUCUCAGUUCCAGUGUGGGGGACAAACCUCUCAGUUCCCCUAUCCAUCGUUGCCUUGGUAAGCCGUUACCUUACCAACUAGCUAAUGGAACGCAUGCCCAUCUACAUCCGAUAAAUCUUUAACAAAUAUUGCCAUGCGGCAUCCCUGUAUUAUGCGGUAUUAGUCCGAAUUUCUCCGGGUUAUUCCCCUGAUGUAGGUAGGUUGCAUACGUGUUACUCACCCGUGCGCCGGUCGCCAUCAAAGUAUUGCUACUCUAUGCUGCCCCUCGACUUGCAUGGGUUAGGCCUG
rnacentral:rRNA from 1 species